rnacentral:tRNA from 1 species
GGGCAUAGCUCAGUGUUAGAGCAUGCUUAGCAUGCAGGAGAUCCUGGGUUCAAUUCCCAGUACUUCCU